CUCAAACACAGAGGCAAGCACCAGGGAACAGGCGGCAGUGGGUUCCAAUGGGUCCCCAGUACAGAAUCAGCAAAGUUGAGAGCCAAAAAACAGAUAAACUGAGGGCUCAAUAAACUCAGGGACUUUAGUAUGGAGGCCCAAACAGAGAACAGUGAGUGUGGGGGCUGAUUUUGGAUCUUUGAUAAGCACCCGAUUUAUCCUGUGUGCACGAAGCUGAACGAUCAGAAAUAGCUAGAUCCUUCAGAGAGAUGAGGAACUAACAGAAGAGAGUAUGAUGUUAAGGAUGAAAGGAGAGCUAAGAGGCCUUUCUUGUGAGAUAUGAGAGAAACAAUCUCUUUUUAAAAUAUACAGGGUUGCUCAGCAAGGAUAACUGGGAGACUGUCCUGUACUUGGAGGACAGAGAAAGCACAGAUCACAUGGAAGAAAAUACCUGUAACUAGCAGUUGGCUGGAGCCAGUUAUUAUUUAAGACUUUCUGUUCUUCACAAAGGCUGAUAUUUUGUCCUGGCCGGAAAGCUAAGCUGCCUGAUCAGCAUAAAGCAAUUGCAGACUUGAGUCUUGGAAGAAGUAGACAGUUCUGCUUUAGAGGCAUCUGCAACUGAAGAUGGUGCUUUGUAGCUGAGAGUCUCUCGUCUAGUUGUGCAGGCUAUUGUCGGACCAGCUGGUCUCCAACAGGGUUCGCCUUUAUUAUAGCUUCUAACAGCUCUCCUAACUGAAUGUGCUAUGAAUGCACUGAAGAGCGCUAUUCGCUGAAGAGUCGUCGAUUUUAAACCUCUUCUGCACACAGCUACUCCUUACAGCAUUUAAACGCUCUCGUCUGCUUACACUACUGCCAAAAGGCAUUCAGCAUUACUUGAAGCCUUUCACCCUGCCAUGCCAAUGUGGCUGCGGCAUAACUCUUCUGCAACUUGUCAAAUUUUGCCUGCAGGAUGAAUCCUGCCCGCCUUCCUCUCGCCACAGCUCCUCUGAGUAUGCUGGAGAGCCAUAAAUGAGGGAUCAGUUAUUGUCCUGCAGAAGCUCUUACAGAGCCUGAUAUACCCACGCGACACAGAAAAACUGUCAAGCCAAAUUUAAAGACAACAAUGAAUUUGGUAUUGUGAGUAAAUAGAUAAACUAACCACAGAGGCCUAGAAGUGAGCUUGUGCAAGAGCACCACGACUGUGACUUUCUGCGCUAGGAGGCAGGAGAAGCAGGCACCGGGCUUUGUUCUCCUGUCAUUUGCAUCUGCAGCCGAGAUACCACCAUGAAAUCCUGCACCAUCUGUGUCUGCAUCUCCCUUGUUUCUAGCCAGCUAUGUAGGACCCUUUUAAUUAAUGUCUUACCUUACUUUAAUUAAUCAGUCUUGUGGUAGAAGGAGCCUUGCACUUCUACAAGCACACAGGAGACUGUAAACUAGACCGCCUCUCUCAAUCAGGCUGUGAGGAGUUCAGGAUCUACCGCAGCCCAAGCACAUUAGCCUCUGCUUGAAUGACCGGCCCAAAGGUGAGAAGCUGGAUCUUUUUUCCCUAAUCGAAGUGGU